rnacentral:rRNA from 1 species
UGGGGAAUCUUGGACAAUGGGCGCAAGCCUGAUCCAGCCAUGCCGCGUGAGUGAAGAAGGCCUUCGGGUUGUAAAGCUCUUUUACCAGGGACGAUAAUGACGGUACCUGGAGAAUAAGCCCCGGCAAACUUCGUGCCAGCAGCCGCGGUAAUACGAAGGGGGCUAGCGUUGUUCGGAAUUACUGGGCGUAAAGCGCACGUAGGCGGAUUGUUAAGUCAGAGGUGAAAUCCCGGAGCUCAACUUCGGAACUGCCUUUGAUACUGCAAGUCUCGAGUCCGGAAGAGGUGAGUGGAAUUCCUAGUGUAGAGGUGAAAUUCGUAGAUAUUAGGAAGAACACCGGUGGCGAAGGCGGCCCACUGGAUCGGUACUGACGCUGAGGUGCGAAAGCUAGGGGAGCAAACGGGAUUAGAUACCCAAGUAGUCCCUGAGCGGGCUGGCAAGGCGCAU